UUUAAAAAAAUUGGCAUUACAUUAGCUAUCUUCGAGUUAUCUGGUACAGAAGCUGAUUUAAUUGAUAUGUUACAGACUACAAUUAGUAGUUCUGUAAUU